rnacentral:rRNA from 1 species
UUGACCUCGGAUCAGGUAGGGAUACCCGCUGAACUUAAGCAUAUCAAUAAGCGGAGGAAAAGAAACCAACAGGGAUUGCCUCAGUAACGGCGAGUGAAGCGGCAAAAGCUCAAAUUUGAAAUCUGGCUCUUUCAGGGUCCGAGUUGUAAUUUGUAGAAGAUGCUUCGGGUGUGGUCCCGGUCUAAGUUCCUUGGAACAGGACGUCAUAGAGGGUGAGAAUCCCGUAUGUGACUGGGGUACCUACGCUCAUGUGAAGCUCUUUCGACGAGUCGAGUUGUUUGGGAAUGCAGCUCAAAAUGGGUGGUAAAUUUCAUCUAAAGCUAAAUAUUGGCCAGAGACCGAUAGCGCACAAGUAGAGUGAUCGAAAGAUGAAAAGCACUUUGGAAAGAGAGUUAAACAGUACGUGAAAUUGUUGAAAGGGAAGCGCUUGCAAUCAGACUUGCGCCUAGUUGAUCAUCCGGGCUUCUGCCCGGUGCACUCGAUUAGGCUCAGGCCAGCAUCGGUUUGGGUGGUUGGAUAAAGGCUUGGGGAACGUAGCCUCCUUCGGGGGGUGUUAUAGCCCCAGGUGCAAUGCAGCCUACCUGGACCGAGGACCGCGCUCGGCUAG